GGAAUCUUGCGCAAUGGGCGAAAGCCUGACGCAGCGACGCCGCGUGAGUGAUGAAGGCCUUCGGGUUGUAAAGCUCUGUGGGGAGAGACGAAUAAGUGCAAGCUAAUACCUUGCAUGAUGACGGUAUCUCCUUAGCAAGCACCGGCUAACUCUGUGCCAGCAGCCGCGGUAAUACAGAGGGUGCAAACGUUGCUCGGAAUUAUUGGGCGUAAAGCGCACGUAGGCGGCAUGGUAAGUUGGAUGUGAAAACCCUGGGCUCAACCCUGGAAGUGCAUCCAAGACUGUCACGCUAGAGUGUCGGAGGGGGUCGGAGAAUUCCCGGUGUAGAGGUGAAAUUCGUAGAUAUCGGGAGGAACAUCUGUGGCGAAGGCGCCGACCUGGACGACAACUGACGCUGAGGUGCGAAAGCAUGGGGAGCAAAC
rnacentral:rRNA from 1 species